GCUACGGGAGGCUGCAGUGGGGAAUAUUGCACAAUGGGGGGAACCCUGAUGCAGCGACGCCGCGUGGGUGAAGGAGUACUUCGGUACGUAAAGCCCUGUCAGCAGGGAAGAAAAUGACGGUACCUGAAGAAGAAGCCCCGGCUAACUACGGGCCAGCAGCCGCGGUAAUACGUAGGGGGCAAGCGUUAUCCGGAUUUACUGGGUGUAAAGGGGGCGCAGGCGGCGAUGCAAGUCAGGAGUUAAAGCCCGGGGCCCAACCCCGGGACUGUUCUUGGAAAUGCGUGGCUGGAGUGCAGGAGGGGCAGGCGGAAUUCCUGGUGUAGCGGUGAAAUGCGUAGAUAUCAGGAGGAACACCGGUGGCGAAGGCGGCCUGCUGGACUGCAACUGACGUUGAGGCCCGAAAGCGUGGGGAGCAAACAGGAUUAGAUACCCGAGUAGUC
rnacentral:rRNA from 1 species